rnacentral:lncRNA from 1 species
AUGAGGAUGACAACAACGAGGAUGGAGAUGAUCAGGAUGAUGGAGGCGAAGAUGAUUUCUCCGGUGAGGAAAAUGAUAACGAGGGGGACGAAGAAGCUGAUGACCCUGAGGGCAACGGUGGAGGAGGAAGCGAAGAGGAUGACGACGAUGACGACGACGACGACGAUGAUGAUGACGAUGAUGAAGACGACGAGGAGGGUGAGGAAGACGAAGACGAUGAAGAGGAUGAGGAGCUUCCUCAGCCACCUGCCAAGAAGAGGAAGUGAGGCACCGGAUAUUACGUCUGGUCCUUGUAGUUUAAUUUCAUUUCAUUUGAGGCUAGUGUUGGUUAGGUAAUAGCAG